UAAGUACUCCCUUUGUUCGAAAAUACUUGUCUUAAAAAUACAUAUAAUGAAUGUAUCUACAAUUAAAAUAAGUCUAAAUACAUUCAUCUUUAGGACAAGUAUUUUCGGACGGAGGUAGUAUUUG
rnacentral:pre_miRNA from 1 species